rnacentral:tRNA from 2 species
GGGCUGAUAGCUCAGUUGGUAGAGCACCGCGUUUGCAACGCGGGGGUCUGGGGUUCAAGUCCCCAUCAGUCCA